rnacentral:lncRNA from 1 species
AUCAUUCUUCUAAGAACCCUAUAAAUACCCACUAAACACUUGAAGAAAACUAAAUACAGUACUAAUUCACCUUUUGUAGGAGCUAUUCCACUCGACAAACAAAUGACUCCAAGAACCUCUCUUACACUCUUGAUCCUUGCUCUCAACCUCCUCUUCUUCACUUACACAUCUGCCGCAUUAUUGCCACCGAUCCCGGGCAUCACGGUCCUCCCGGGCAUCACGGUCAUCCCGGGCAUCACCGUCCCGGGCAUCACGGUCCCGGGCAUCCCGGCCACGCCAAACACCCCAGCCACGCCAAACACCCCGACCAAGCCAAACACCCCGACCAAGCCAAACACCCCGACCAAGCCAACGAUCCCGACCACGCCAGCCACCCCAGCCACCCCAGCAACGCCAGCCACCCCUGCCACUCCAGCCACCCCAGCAACGCCAAACACCCCAACGUCUCCGACACUCCGCACACCUCCAGGCACAGGUUCUUUAUCCUAGAGAUGCUCUAAAGAACGGUGUUUAAGCUAUUGGACCUAAGAUUGGAAUCUCACCUGAGCCAUGUUGCUCAUCUAAGGCUUUUUGUUGUUUAUAUUUGGUUUUUAUGUGUGCAACUUAUGCAUUUGCUGAGUAUCUUGAAUUUCUAAAGUUUGUUUGUUUUAAGAAAAUAUGUCGCACAUAAUUUAGACAGCAUAUAAAAUAUUUUCUAACUUUUAUCAUUUUUCAAAUACACAGGUUUACUUUUUCUCUACGUAAUUAGACUUUAUUUUAUGAGGAUAAACUAUGACUUUUUGUUAAAGUUUUGCAUUGAAACAACACUUUUUUUUUGAAAAGAAAACAAAGAUCUAAAACAACACUUAAUUUUAAAAGAAAUAAUGUAUUUUGUAAAGGAUUUUUUUUUUUUUUGUAUAUAAAAAAUUAAUAUUUCAUCCCAACCGGAUUUUAGGCCAUGGACUUGGGAAAUGGGGUUUACAUCUAAUUUACAAUUUCAAAAAAAGAAGGAAACCGAUGACUCGAAAUUGGACAUUGAUGGUGUUCGGAAACAAGGAAACACAUCCACUACUACCGGCGAUUACAAGAAACACUGCUUUGCGGCUACAUCAACGAUAUCGAAUCCAGGUAAUAAGUUCAUGUCGCAAAGCCGAUCCGGACGACAAGCCUCAACCCGCAACAUUUAUCCCGAAAUAGAUCGGUUCUCAGAAAAUCUGAGACCUAAUCUAUCUAAUCCCCUACCUAGCAAAAAGGGAGAACUCAGAUCGAUCUAACACUUAGCCUCCGGUACCAACAAGCAUCAGACAUAAAAAAAGGGACCUUUCAGCUUCAUAUGUCAAGGUUCCAGAUCGCUAUGUUGACGCUAUCUUCUAACCACCACGUUAUAUAUCCUUCUUGUUGCACUUGCACCACAAAACCUCUAUAUUUCAUUUUCAGAUCUCUUUUUCUAUGUAUACGUAAACAUAUCUAUAUAGUAUAUAUACGUUAUUGGAAUUCUUUGCUAAGAACUUGAAAUGAAGCAAACAGUCUUAUUAGGUAACACAAAAAAAAAAGAAGUUUUUUUCAGAUUUCUCAAUGUUCUUUUACCAAAAUAUGUUAUUGUUCUUUUUUUCCGCCAAAUAUGGUAUUGUUCAUAUUCAAGGUCCGUGAGCUUUGCUUCAGAGUAGUAGGCUUUGGAUACUUUUGAUAAAACCCCAUAUUGUAUGUCAAGGCCCAUUAAGAUGCGGAUCCAAGCCUUGACGUUUAAACAAAUAUAAGUCUUCUCGUAGGUAACAUCAAAGGCCUAUUAGCUCAGUUGGUUAGAGCGUCGUGCUAAUAACGCAAAGGUCACAGGUUCGAUCCCUGUAUAGGCCAUUACUUUUUAUAUUUUUAGUCAUCGUCGUUCCAACUUCCCCAACCAUCAUCAAUAUUUGAUUUUCAUUCCACUCAGGUGGUCACUUCACCAGUAGAGUUUUUGUGUGAAUUGAUAACAAAAAUGUUUGUAAGCUUAAAUUUUUCCUGUGCAUAGUAAAACAAAAAAACCAAGCACUGUAAUCUCUUCUUGGAGAUUUUUUUAGCCACCAACACUGUUCAUUCGUCUAACUUAACUUUUUUUUUUUUUUUUGAUAAACCCUAUCGGCUGAUCCGGUCGGCCUCGGUAGGAACACACCGAGGUGCUACAGAGUGGACUUCUUCCGAUCCAGGUAGAAUUGGGUCACCACACUGGCUGAUCCGAGUUUGGAAUGCCUUCCGACUAAUGCCAGGGGUAGUCAGGCCGCCUGCAUUUCUGACUACCAGGUAAACCAAUUGGGCCAAGGUCCAACUGAGUAACUGACAGACUUCCCAAACAAAUGUGUUUUUGUUUCCAGGGAGAAUCGAACUCGGGUCUGGGAGUUUCACCCAAAUUCACUUCCACACAAUACAAAUUUGUAACAAAGGUUAAUGAAUUCUUGUGAUUUAUCAACAAACAAAAAUAACCAAAAUGUGACAUAUGAGAGACUAAGUUGUUGUAGACUAAUGGUUAUCACUUAAAAUGUAAAAAAAUUUCGUAGGUCUAGAUCAAGAAUCGAUUACUCUCAAAUAUUUUAAGAAAAAUCUGCACUUUGUAGUACAUUGGUUACCCUUAGAUAUUUUAAAUAUUUUUAAAAGCUAUGAUUUUUAUGGGUUCUGGAAAUUAAUUUUGAUUUUAAUUUAGUAUUUCUCUGUUUGAAAAAGAAAAGCAACUAAAUAAAAUAGAAAACAUGUAGAAAAAAUCAUGAUAUUUUUGCCUGUCCAAUUGUGAAAGUAGAUGGUUGGAUCUUUGUGUUUGGCAAAAUGGCAAUAGAAACGUAGAUCUAUAUUAUGACAAAACAAAAAAAAAAUCGAAGAGGCAAAAGCGCCAAUCUGUUAACUGAUUCAAAGCCACUCCUUCCAUAUCUUUGUUCAUAAACAAACGCUUAUCUUCUUAUCAUCUUCAAAAGUUUUCUCUUUUGCCUCUCAACAUUACAUGCCCUACAACAUAAAUGCGAGGACGUCGGUUAUAAACGGACACUAACAAAAUUAUGUCGUUUAUUCAACCGACUUGCUAAGGGCCAACGUAAGUUAUAUAGCCUGGAUUACGGAUUACCUACCAUGAAAUAUCUCAAUAAUAAGUCUUAUUCUAUGUUCCAUAAUCAUAAGAUUAUAAUUUCAUUCAAAUAUACUUCUUUGAAAUAAUACUGAUAUUUAAUAAAUAGUAUUGGGUUUCUUCAAAUUAUGCAUGCUUCGGAUAUUUGAUUAACUUUGUUUCACGAACUCUAAAGCCCUAAAUUAAUAUGAAUAAUUUUAAAAAUAAGUUUAUCAAAGAUAUAGCUUUAUUGCUGGCAACAAAAAAGGUAUAGCUAUAUUGCAAGAUCUUAUACUAUUAUUUGGGGAGUACACUUUAUAAGAUACCCUUAACUAACCUUUCCUUUUGUAAGAAUUUACUUAAGAAUGCCAUUACAAAAAUCUUCUUUUAGAACAAAUUUCAUUCAAUUUAUUAAGAAUAAACAAGUAAAGUACUAGUUUAUGUCAUUUAAUUAAUUUGACUAAAUUAUAAAACGAAAAUUUGUUAUUAUUUUUUUUAAAUGACCAAUCAAAAUGAACAUAUAAGAUUUGAUAUCUAACUUAUCAUAUUAAUUUGUUAUUAAUCAUUAAACUUCACCUCUCAUCUUAAUAUGAUUAUAUUAAUAUGAAAAAAACUAAAUCAUCAUAUCAUCUACAUAAUAAAAAAAAAGUAAUUUUUUUUUCUGCAUAUGCCAAGAUUUGAAUUUUUAAAAACGCAUAUAAAUUGUUCAAUCUAUAAAGGAAACAAUUAAACGGGUCAAAAAUUCAGACUUGAGUAGUAUAUUUCUUUUACACAAAAAUAAAGUCAACAAAAAUUCCGACUGAGCAACAGGUCAGAAUUUGAAUAUUUAGAUUCGAUUUCAUACAUUUAUUUUUUUGAAAUGCAUAAUUUUAUAUACUACAAUAAAAAUUUAAAUAUUUUAAUUUGCAACAAUUAAAAUAAGUUUUACUUGAUAUUUUUAGAGAAUAUCAUCAAUACUUAAUAGUUCAAAAAGUUAAAAAUUAUAAAUACUCUAAUUUGAUUAUUUUUAAAAAUAUUUAUAAUAGUUAGCGGGUUAAAUAUAAUAUAUUAUACGAUGAAAUGAGUUUUGAUCCAUAUAACUAUUUGAAUAGUUAUAUUUAAUUUCAUACAAUUUGUUUUUUGAAAUUCAUAAUUUUAUAAACUACAAAAAAAAUUUAAAGGUUUUAAUUUGGAAUAUUUAAAAAUAGUGUAGAACAUUUAAAUAUGGUUUGACACCUCUAAAUAUUUGAAAAUUUGAUUCUGCAAGCAAUUUUAGAAUUAACGAAUAAUAGAUUGUGCACGCAAUAUUUUAAAAUGAAAUAUUGAGAUUCUAAAAUAAAAAUAUAGACUCCACGCACGGGUUGAUUUUUGUAUUAUUAUAUACUAAAUAUAUGUUUUUAACAUAUUUGAUUAUGCGAAUAAUUGGUAAAUUCCGUAAUUAUAAAUCUCAAACAAAUUCUGUAAUUAGAUUAGCUCAAACAAAUCUCUAUUUCAACAACCAAAGAAUCAUAAAUUGAAAAAGAAUUUUCUAAAUUAAUUCAAAAUAAUUGCUAAUUUUCUUAAUUAAUUCAAAAUAAUCUAUGUUUUAUAUGGGAUUCAUUUAUGAUAUUUUAAUUUUUGAUCUAACUGAAAUAUAUGCAAUCCUAUUUUGUGGUUGUUAACAUAAAUUAACUCAUUGUUCAAAAAAUAUUACUUUUCAAGAAAUAAAAUUAUUUUCUGUUUUCAUAUCUUAAAAAAAUUUAUCUAUAAUUGAGUAUUAUAAAAAAAGUUCUAUAUUUAUUCUAAUAUUGUAUACAGGGACUGACAAAAAAAUUAAUAUUUUUUCACUUACUAUUAUAAUAUAUUAAAACUUAGUUCUAAUAUAUGUAUUAUAUAAAUUUUGUAAUAAAUAAAAUUCAACCCGUACUUUAGUACGGAUGAUGAUCUAGUUAAAUAUAUAUAAGGAUAUCUCUAUAUUAUAUUCGUUAAUUGUGAUUUGUCUGGUUUAGUUUUCAACGAACAAAUAGUUAAAUAAUACUUUCUUUGUUUCUAAAUAUAAAAUUUUAGAGUUUUUAUUCUGUUUUAAAAUAUAAAAUUUAUUCACGUUUCUAUGCAUAUAUUUAUUUUCAUACUGUUAAAAGUAUCUAGUCAAAAAAAGCCAAAGAUCAAUCACAACUCGUAUUGAUGGCUUCCGAAAUUUUAAUGUGACUAUUAGUAUUCUUUCUCUACGAAUGAUUUUUGUUUAUCAAAUGAUGUUUUUGUUUAAGAAAUAAUUCUUUUUUAAUUUGUGUGUUUUAACCAAAAUAUCAUAUAUUUUAUUUUGAUAUUCAUCGUAACUUUCCAAAUUCAUAUCUCAAUGAAAAAUUAAAAGUUUUUAAAUACGGAAAACACAACUUACAAUCUAUGAAAGUUAUUUUAUCGACAAUCGUAGUACAUAUUAUAUAUAGUUUUAGGAAUUGAAAUAUCAUCAUUCUUCUAAUGAGAACCCUAUAAAUACCCACUAAACACUUGAAGAAAACUAAAUACAGUACUAAUUCACCUAUUGUUGGAGCUAUUCCACUCGACAAACAAAUGACUCCAAGAACCUCUCUUACACUCUUCCUUGCUCUCAACCUCCUCUUCUUCACUUACACAUCUGCCGCAUUAUUGCCACCGAUCCCGGGCAUCUCGGGCAUCCCGGGCAUCCCGGACAUCCCGGGCAUCCCGAACAUCCCGGGCAUCCCGGACAUCCCUGGCAUCCCGGACAUCCCGGGCAUCCCAGCCACGCCAAACACCCCAGCCAACCCAGCCACGCCAAACACCCCAGCCAACCCAGCCACGCCAAACACCCCAGCCAACCCAGCCACGCCAAACACCCCAGCCAACCCAGCCACGCCAAACACCCCAGCCAACCCAGCCACACCAAACACCCCAGCCAACCCAGCCACACCAAAAACCCCGGCCACGCCAAACACCCCGACCACGCCAACGACCCCUGCCACUCCAGCCACCCCAGCAACGCCAAACACACCAGCAACACCGACCACCCCAACGUCUCCGACACCCCGCACACCUCCAGGCACAGGUUCUUUAUCCUAGAGAUGCUCUAAAGAACGGUGUUUAAACUAGUGGACCUAGAUUGGAAUCUCACCUAAGCCAUGUUGCUCAUCUAAGGCUUGUUGACCUUGAGUCUUCAUUAUUCCUCUAUCUCUUCUUUGUAAUUGUGUCUUUUCAAUUUGAAUAAUAAAAUUAUAUCAACCGACCCAUGUUAUUGUUUAUAUUUGGUUAAUAUGUGUGCAACUUAUGCAUUUGCUGAGUAUCUUGAAUUUCCAAAGUUUGUUUUGUUUUAAGAAAUUAUGUCGCACAUAAUUUAGACAACAUUAAAAUAUUUUCUAUCUUUUAUCAUUUUUCAAAGACACUGUGUUAACUUUUUCUAUAGCAGUGCGAGUAGUUGAGCCACGAUAAAUCUCCAACACGAUACCACUGGCGUCCUCGCCACGAGGUAAAACGUCGGGAGGCUUCUCUAGAUAGUCUAGACUGCCGAGAUGUUUGGGUUAAAUGCAUCAUGAAGCGGAUAAUCCACGCCUCAUCACUGCCGGAGAAGAAAGCCUUCUCACCAACGCUUCACCAAAAAAAUCCACACCUUCAAUGAGGAUCUAAAAGCAACAAAAAAAACCCGGAAGUAAAUCUUUUUUUUUCCAAAGAUCCAAAGAGAGAAAAGAGAGAAGCGAUAGAACGAUUGUCCU